rnacentral:misc_RNA from 1 species
AUCCCUCAGCCCCCAUCGCUUUUUGUUAAGCGAUUGGUUUGGGUCUGGAUUUUGGGCGUCUCCUGCCAGUGCGCUUUUCAAAGCGCUUGGCUCGCCUCAAAGAGAUUAGCUGGACCCCAUUCCGAGCUGGUUCAACUCGACGUGAUAAUUUCAUUCGUCGAGGUAUGGUUUCGCCUUCGCGGGCAGACCAGCCAGGUGUAGGAAUCCGGUCCGCUUCGAACCUCCGUCUGAAGCCAGCAAUGGUGUGAAGCGGAUUUCAUUUAAUG